GACGAACGCUGGCGGCGUGCCUAACACAUGCAAGUCGAACGGAACGGCCCUGCUUUUGUGGGCUGCUCGAGUGGCGAACGGGUGAGUAACACGUGAGUAACCUGUCCCUGACUUUGGGAUAACUUCAGGAAACUGGGGCUCUUCCCGGAUAGGAGCUCCUGCUGCAUGGUGGGGGUUGGUAAGUUUCGGCGGUUGGGGGUGGACUGGCGGCUUAUCAGCUUGUUGGUGGGGUAGUGGCUUACCAAGGCUUUGACGGGUAGCAGGCCUGAGAGGGGGACCGGCCACACUACGCCUGAGAUACGGCCCAGACUCGAACGGUACGCAACGGUGGAGAGGAGAGUACAAGAGGAGGGAGGCAGGUGCGACCACGCCGCGUGGGGUAAGACGGGCAGCGGGUUGGAAACCAAAGUCGCCUUACACGAGGUGUUAGUGACGGUAACGGGUGAAUAAGCACCGGCUAACUACGUG
rnacentral:rRNA from 1 species